GUCUCCAUCGACGACGGCGACGACGACGGCGCCAAGAUCCUCCACCUCGCCGACGGCUCGACUCUCCGGGCAAGGGUGCUGGUCGGAUGCGACGGGAUCAACUCCGUGGUGGCCAGAUGGCUGGGGCUCGCCAAGCCGUCGCACUCCGGGCGCUCCGCCACGCGGGGCCUCGCGCGUUACCCCGACGGCCACGGCUUCCCGCCCAAGUUCCUGCAGCUCUUUGGCAACGGCUUCCGCUUCGGCUUCGUCCCCUGCAACGACACCGACGUCUACUGGUUCUACACAUGGUCUCCCUCCCAAGACGGUCAGUCUAGCUCGCCACUCUCUGCAUCCAUGGCGAUGCCCUGACCCUGAUGUCCAGUGUCCAUUUACCGUCUCGCGUUGACUGACGUGCAGAUGAUGGUGUCGCUGAGAGCGGCGCCAAGAUGAAGCAGUACGUGCUGACGAAACUGAGGAGCUCCAAGGUGCCCGCGGAGGCGCUGGAAUUGGUGGAGAGGAGCGAGCUGAGCGACGACGCGCCCGCCGCACCGCUGCGGUUCCGGCCGCCGCUCUCGCUCCUGUUCGCGGGCAUCAGCAAGGGGAACGUGUGCGUCGCCGGCGACGCGCUGCACCCGAUGACGCCGGACCUUGGCCAGGGCGGCUGCGCGGCGCUGGAGGACGGCGUCGUCCUGGCCAGAUGCCUCGGCGAGGCCAUCCUCGGUGGCGAUGGCGACGGAGCGACAGGCGGGACUGAUGAGAAGGAGAGGAUCGAGUUGGGCCUGCGCAGGUUUGCCGGGAUACGGCGGUGGAGGAGCAUCGAGCUCAUCGGAACGGCCUACGUUGUCGGCUUCUUGCAGCAGAGUGGUAAUAGGAUCAUCAGCUUUCUGCGGGAGAAGGUGCUGGCCGGAGUGCUCGCGGGAAGGCUCGUUAAGAUGUCGGACUACAACUGCGGGACGCUGUCGAGCUAGGGAGUAGUACAUUUGAGGCAACCAAGAUAGCAAGAGCAUAUCUUUUUUUUUUCUUCCAAGAAACUUUCAAACUAUUUAUCCUUAAUUAUGACAGUACAAAGAACAAAAGAAGUAAUAAAAAUUAGGACGCCGAUAGUGCCACACGUGUGGGCGUUAGAGGGUUUGCCCACACAUUUUGUGUGGUGUAUAUAAGAGGAACAACCCACACACCUACGUGUGGGCAAAACAAGUAAUGACCACAAGUAGAUAACGCCCACACCCCCGUACGUCAGGCCUCCUACCUCGUGGUCCCGCAUGCCCCGCGUGACAGUAACCCGCGUCCCGUAGUUGCCAUGGUCCAGACCCUCGUCCAUGUUCUUUUAAUUGUAGUUGUCAUGUCGCUGAACUUCGGUUGCCAUGUCGGACAACUACAAUUGCCAUGGUUGCUCAACUGCAGUUGCCAUGUAUGGUCUGGUCUAUUGCAAUUGCCAUGAUUUCAAAAUUUUAGGAGUUGCCACCCACUAGGCAGUUGUCGUGUAGCACUACAAAAAGGCAUGUAAAAAAACAUGUUCGGGUAAAAGAGAGAGUUGUCGUGUGCUCACAAGCAUGCUAGGGCAGUUGUCAUGUAAAGAGAAAGAGUUGCCAUCUGCUUACGUGCAUGUUAGGGCAAUUGCCAUGUACCAUGCAAAAACACAUGGCAACUCGGGGUAAAAAAGAGUUGCUAUCUGCUUACAAGCAAAGCUAGGGCAGUUGCCAUGUACCCUGCAGAAACACAUGGCAACUGCCAACUUUGGGUGUGGGCGAAGUGAUAAACGCCCACACGCCAGCCCCCCGUAUGGUGAAAAGGACGUGUGGGCGACCGGAUGAAUGCCCACACACACCAUCUUAGUCCUACGUGGCACACAAAAACUGCUAGAACACGCCAAGAUUCGUGUAGAAUUGGUUGGACGAGAAUCCAUGCGUGUGGGCGAGUUGCCAGACGCCCACAUGUGUGGGCGUUAGUGUUUCUGAAUUUUUUUAACCAUGUCCGUGGGCCCCUAGCAACGACUACAAACGCUGGAGCGAGCCGAAGGCGCGCCCCCAUCAUCGCAUCUUCAUCACCGAAGCCGGACAAACCUUGUUAUAGUAAACAGUUGGGAAGUCGUCGUGCUAAGGCCACAUAGGACCAGCGCAUAGAAUAGCAAUCAUCGCCGAUGAAGAAAGUCAUAGACUAGAAGGGUCAAACUUGUAAACACCCAAGUGAAGACGAACGAAGACCGGAUCCAAACAGAUCCACCGAAAGCCAGCACCAACCGAAUCCCGCAAGAUCCGACGGAGACAAACCUUCACACAUCCUCCGUAUGAUCCUAGAAGCACCAUCGGGACGGGGAUAGAAUGUGGGAGACAUUAUUCCCACUAAGGAAUAUCGCCGCUGCCACACAACCCCAACCAAGACGUUGAAUCUAACGAGAACGAGAACGGAGUUUAAGAAAAUACCCAUUGGUUUCUGGGUGUUUAUAACCUAAGAAUUGAUUUUUUUACAAAAAAGUUAAAAACAUUCAGAUUCUUUCUUAGAAUAAACUUGAUUUUUUUUGCACCAGAAUGUAAUUUUCCUCGUCCUCCUCACGCUCAAGUUCGUCCCAAUCAAUGUCGUUGUCAAACGACUCGACGUUGACCACCACCUUCGCAGAGGAAGGUCCUGCGUCGUUGUUGUCCUUCACCUUCUUCUUCUCCGUGUCCCUCUUCCAGUACCACUCCUGCUCUUAUUGAACAUACUCUGGGUGCUCCCUUGCGAACCUUCUGCCCAACGAGCUAUGCUGCCUCCAACGAGUCCUCCGGGAAGUUGAGCCUUUUCAGGUUGCAGACCGAGCCGCCACGCCGCGAUGUCAUACGCGCGGGCGGUGGGGUCCAUGCUACGGAAAGUGCCCACCCAGUACCCAUGGCCACGCGUGCUCAACUCCACGCCGUAUUGGGUGGAGGGCCGCGGCUACAUGCCCUCGAAACCGGCUUUGGUCUUUGGCUUCGGUGGCAUGGUGACAGUGAGGCAGGUACGAGGCGCGGCGGAGUGGCUGGACGAGAUGCGUUGGUGGCGGCGAUAUAAGCGGUACAACGGCCGCUGGCGAGGUGGGAUUAGUAGAUCUGGCAGCGGCGGGCGCGGCGUGGGUGCGAUACUCACCGGAUUUACAGGCUACAAUGGUGUCAGAGGGGAGAGGGGUCACGCGGGGGUGCUAUGGAGGUUGUGGGUGGGCUGUAGGGGGAUUUUGGUUUACGGCAGCCGCGAAUGUCCUGUAUAUUUACAAGGCGAGUAAUCUGCGCCGGUGCGCCGGCCGAAUGUUUCGGCCGGUCGCACCGCAGCCGCCCGAUGCAUGCGCGCAGAGCCGUCCGAUCUGAUCCCAUCUUCUUUCUUCCCGUCGUCUUCAAGCUGAGUUAACGUGCUUCCCCCUGAUUACUCGCCAUCCACCAUACCCCAACCACGCGUGCUCCCGCGUCCUUGUCGGGCGUCCUCGCCGCUGGUCGCCGGCUAUCCUUGCCGCCGGUCGCCGUCGCCGCCGCCAAUCGCCGUCCUGGCAACACCCGUGCUCGAUGGUUCCAGCGAAGAGACCUCAUCGCAGCACUCCGUCCUCACCUGUAGCAAACGCCGUCGUCGUAAGACUGCCGACCCCUUCGUCGUUGCUGCAAUUAACCGCCGCCGUCGUAGCACUGCCAUGCCGCCAGCCGCGUCUCCCCGCUCGCACAUCGUCAUCAUGCCGCCGCCUAGUGGAAGCUUUUUUCCUUGUGGGUUGAAGCUUUUUAUUUCCCGGUUGAAACAUUUUCCACGUUUGAAGCUUUUCUUCCAGGCCCAUUGAAGCUUUUCCAUGGUUGAAGCUUUUUCACACAGCGGUUGAAGCUUUUUCACACAGCGGUUGAAGCUUUUUCCAGCAUCGCUCGUAGGAAUAUUUUCCAUGGUUGAAACUGUUCUCCCACCCCAUUGAAGCUUUUUCUCAUGGUUUGAAGCUUUUUCCUUCGCCCGUUGAAGCUUUUUUACACACCGGUUGAAGCCUUUGCCGCGCAAGUCCAAUUUUUUCCACGGGUUGAAGCUUUUUUUGUUUAUGAUUUUUCAUGGUUGAAGCAUUUUUUAUGUCGGUUGAAGCUUUUUUCCUUGCCGCUUGAAGCUUUCAGCAGUAUGCCUGUUUGCCGGUCAGAAUACGCCUUGUUUUUGGUAGCAAAAAUCCACGCUGGAUGCAGCUAUUUUUUCGGCCGGUUCCAGCUCAAAUCCACGCUGGUUGCAGCACCGGUCGCCUCUCAUUUGAAGCUCGUCACUGAGAUCCACCUCGCCACUCGUAGCAUCUAGUCUCGUCCGUUUUUAGCUUCUGAGCUGGCCCGGUUCCAGCGUUUUGGCCGGCAGGUUGCAGCAAAAAUAGAUGCUGGUUCCGGCAUCGCAGGGCUCCCCCUGUCGUCGUGUCCAUCUCCGAUGAGAGAUGGUCGUCGGGGAUCACGGGAUUCAGGGCGAGCCGUGGGCCAUCAGAGAAAGGAAAAGGGAGGAGGGAGAUUGAGGGCGAGGGGGUGGGGGGAGGAGGAGGAGGAGGAGGAGGAGGGUCACAGCAGCGAAGGCAGUGGUGCGGGACAGGGACCGGAGUUGCGGCGGCGCUGGUGGUGCAGGACAGGGAACGGAGUUGUGGGGAUGGGGCAGGGGAGCUGAGCGAUGGAGAAGGAAGAAGGAUAUGUGCUGCAGAUAAGGGAAGGGGUGCGCUGUUUCUGGCCGCAUGAUUACGAUCCAUCUCGCGGCUUGCGUGAGACCGGCGUAACAGUUCGGCCGGUGCCCCGGCUGGAAACGUUUCCCUAUUUACAACACCUAGAGUCCUCUUUUUGGGUCCACAAGUUUUUUGGCCAAAAAAAUAUGACAGGGCAGUUGUUGGAGAUCAUUUUUUUGCAUCCAAAUGCCUAAAAAAUAGCUAGCGCCCUAUUUUCCCUAUUCAUCUUCUUCGUCGUGCAGUCACCCUCCGACAUAGCGCCCCGUGGCCGGUGGGCGCUACCGCACGCCGCCACGCAUCCCCAUCCCUAACCCGCCCAUUAAGUUUCUGACUCGCCCCCGCCGACGAUCGCCGGCUCCGCUCGUACCUGAUGUUUAGCAAACAGGAACUAAUAUAGGUGAAUAGUGUAACCGGUGGUAAGUCUUCUUUGUGUGUGGGCGUGUGGCUAGUCCGAGAUGUACACGAUAACUCUGUCAAUCUCUCUGUCUCCAUGAGCUCUUCACCUGGCGAGGGAGGUUGGUGUGUCCGAAGUGAUCCCGGAGCGAGACUCCCAAGUUGUUGUCCGUAAGAUCAAUCAAGAGGCUACGGAUCUUUCAUCAUAUGGGCCAAUUGUCGAGGAAGUGAAGCGACUUCUUAGGUCCUUCAAGGACUUUGGGGUUCUGUGGGUGCAACCCUCGGCGAAUAAAGUCGCACAUGAACUAGCUAGGGAAGGUUGCAAUAAUAAACUCUGUAAGACCUGGUUACAUGCACCACCGCAGAAAUUCAUAGGUGCACGCACCUGGCAAGCCCUGCCCGACAGCUCGAUCACCUCGCGAUUCGUGAAGUAGUUGGAUACCGCAUGAGAGCGCAGUAGGGGUGCAAUAAGUUUUAAGUUUCAAUCAUUGAAAAUUACGAUUUUUCAUCUAAAACUUGCGACUUUCAAGCUCGCUCUUACCAAGUUUCAUCGAUAAAAUUUUGAGACAUUAUUUUUGUCGGCUGUAGUCACAAAAAUUGGCCGUAAGCACAAACUCAUGAUUUAUCAGUAGCUUGUACUUAACAUUUAUUUUCAAAUUUCAUGAAAACAUAUUUAAAAUGGUCUUAUUUGAAAUUAGGCGCUCAUCACAAAAAACACGAAUAUGAAAACAAAAUUUAUUCUAAACUUUUUAUUUUAAAGAUAUGAAAGUUAAAAAAACCAGAAGCCAAAAAAAAAACGCGUGCGAGGGACUUGGUGUCCCCGCACUUGCGUGCCCCAAAAUGGUACCAACGGCAUGUGUUAGCUUGGUGGUGGCCUCGGAGUGUACCUUGACAUUAUUUUUUGAGAUGAGUAUACCUUGACAUUUUAAUAAAGUUGCAACAGAUUUUCGAGUGAGGCGUUUUGGCUCCCAGACUCAUCUGUACCCACGCUGAAUAAAAAAAAUUAAAAUAAACACUAGAAAAAAAAUUCAAAAAAUUCCAAUUUUUGGCAUGGUAGAUAAUUUGGUGCGUGAUGUCCGCUCCAAAUUUUAAAUCAUUUGGACGUCUGAGUAUCUCUUGGCAAAAAAGACAAAUUUAAGGUCUAUUAAAAAGUGUACUGUUCAGACCUAAUUUGUCUUUUUUGCUGAGAGCUACUCAAUUGUCCAAAUGCUUUGAAAUUUGCAGCGAACCUCACACACCAAAUUAUCUACCUUCCAUAAAAAAUUUAGAUUUUUAUUUUUAUUUUCUAUGGAUUGUUUCUUGACCGGGUGCAAACGAGCCCGGACUCGGAAUUGGAUAUUCGCAGAUUUUCCAACUAAAAUAAAUAAAUAUAUGUCUCCUAGACCGCGUAUGUCGUGGAUGGUUUUGGAGUUUUCCCUUCAAUCCACCACAUACGAAUUGCGGUCUCUUGUUGGUUGGUCCAAACGAAUUGCGGUCCAGGACCGCCAUACGUACCGGCCCACCCAGCCAUGCACGCCAGGAAAAUCAUCAUAACUUGCGACAAUAGACUUGCCAAGCCGAAGCUGUUCCUCAUCCGGGAAGACGACACGGCAGCUUGCAUGGAAGAACAAGAUGAGAUCAAUGCCGAGCACAUCGUCGUCGUGGGCGCCGGCCCCGCCGGCCUCGCCGUGGCUCUCGGGCUGCACAGGAAAGGGGUGAGGAGCGUGGUGCUGGAGUCGUCGCCGGCGUUGCGCGCGUCCGGCUACGCCAUCACGACGUGGCCCAACGCCUUCCGCGCGCUCGACGCCCUCGGGGUCGGCGACAAGAUCAGGAAGCUCCACCUGCACAUCCAAGGGUAAACGCCUGGCUGCCGUUUCUUCUUCAAUGCCUGGCUUGCACGUUGGCUCUCGUUUUCCGCUUAAAACUGUAGUGUAAUCCGAUCGACCCAUGUUCGUACGUAGGCUGCGUGUCUUCUCUGCGUCCACCGGAGAGAUCGCACACGAGCUGGAUUUCACGCUGCAGGAGAAUGGGUGAGCACCGAGUUGGCAGCAAGUUCUCAUCUAUCAGGACGUGAUGAGUAACACAAUUACAUGGAUAAUUUUGGAUGCAGAGGACCUCAUGAGACCUGCCGUGUCAGGCGUGACCUGCUGCUCCGGACGCUCGAGGAGGAGCUGCCGACGGGCACCAUUCGCUACUCGUCCAAGAUCGUCUCCAUCGACGACCAAGACGGCGCCGCCAAGAUCCUCCACCUCGCCGACGGCUCGACUCUCAGGGCAAAGGUGCUGAUCGGCUGCGACGGGGUCAACUCGGUGGUGGCGAAAUGGCUGGGGCUCCCCAAGCCGUCCUACUCGGGGCGCUUGGCCACGAGAGGCCUCGCACAUUACCCCGACGGCCAUGGUUUCGAGCCCGAGUUCCUGCAGUACAUCGGCCAUGGCUUCCGCUUCGGCUUCGUGCCCUGCGACGACACCCGCAUCUACUGGUUCUACACCUGGUCUCCCUCCCAGAACGCGAGUGCGGACAAGGGCGUCGACGUCGAGGGCGCCGCCAAGAUGAAGCAGCACGUGCUGGCCAGGCUGAGGAGCUCCAAG
rnacentral:lncRNA from 1 species